UAGGGAAUCUUCGGCAAUGGACGAAAGUCUGACCGAGCAACGCCGCGUGAGUGAAGAAGGUUUUCGGAUCGUAAAACUCUGUUGUUAGAGAAGAACAAGGACGUUAGUAACUGAACGUCCCCUGACGGUAUCUAACCAGAAAGCCACGGCUAACUACGUGCCAGCAGCCGCGGUAAUACGUAGGUGGCAAGCGUUGUCCGGAUUUAUUGGGCGUAAAGCGAGCGCAGGCGGUUUCUUAAGUCUGAUGUGAAAGCCCCCGGCUCAACCGGGGAGGGUCAUUGGAAACUGGGAGACUUGAGUGCAGAAGAGGAGAGUGGAAUUCCAUGUGUAGCGGUGAAAUGCGUAGAUAGAUGGAGGAACACCAGUGGCGAAGGCGGCUCUCUGGUCUGUAACUGACGCUGAGGCUCGAAAGCGUGGGAACAAACAGG
rnacentral:rRNA from 1 species